rnacentral:rRNA from 1 species
CCUACGGGCGGCUGCAGUGGGGAAUAUUGGGCAAUGGAGGGAACUCUUACCCAGCAAUGCCGCGUGAGCGAAGAAGGCCUUCGGGUUGUAAAGCUCUUUGAUUGGGGACGAAGCAAGUGACGGUACCCAAGGAACAAGUCCCGGCUAACUAUGUGCCAGCAGCCGCGGUAAUACAUAGGGGACUAGCGUUGUCCGGAAUUACUGGGCGUAAAGGGUGUGUAGGCGGUUUUUUAAGUUGGAAGUGUAAUACCCAGAGCUUAACUCGGGUGCUGCUUCCAAAACUGGAAGACUAGAGUAUGGGAGAGGAUAAUGGAAUUCCUAGUGUAGCGGUGGAAUGCAUAGAUAUUAGGAGGAACACCAGAGGCGAAAGCGAUUAUCUGGACCAUAACUGACGCUGAGGCACGAAAGCGUGGGGAGCGAACAGGAUUAGAUACCCUAGUAGUC